CAUAGCGGGGAAAAAAACCCACCGGGGUUGCCCUAGUAACGGCGAGUGAAGCGGCAACAGCUCAAAUUUGAAAGCUGGCCUUCGGGUCCGCAUUGUAAUUUGUAGAGGAUGCUUUGGGUAAAACGCCAGUCUAAGUUCCUUGGAACAGGACGUCAUAGAGGGUGAGAAUCCCGUAUGUGACUGGAAAUGUUAACCUAUGUAAAGCUCCUUCGACGAGUCGAGUUGUUUGGGAAUGCAGCUCUAAAUGGGAGGUAAAUUUCUUCUAAAGCUAAAUAUUGGCGAGAGACCGAUAGCGCACAAGUAGAGUGAUCGAAAGAUGAAAAGCACUUUGGAAAGAGAGUUAAAAAGCACGUGAAAUUGUUGAAAGGGAAGCGCUUGCAAUCAGACUUGUUUAAACUGUUCGGCCGGUCUUCUGACCGGUUUACUCAGUUUGGACAGGCCAGCAUCAGUUUCGGCGGCCGGAUAAAGGCUCUGGGAAUGUGGCCUCCACUUCGGUGGAGGUGUUAUAGCCCAGUGUGUAAUACGGCCAGCCGGGACUGAGGUCCGCGCUUCGGCUAGGAUGCUGGCGUAAUGGUUGUAAGCGACCCGUCUUGAAACACGGACCAAGGAGUCUAACAUCUAUGCGAGUGUUCGGGUGUCAAACCCCUGCGCGUAAUGAAAGUGAACGGAGGUGAGAACCGCAAGGUGCAUCAUCGACCGAUCCUGAUGUCUUCGGAUGGAUUUGAGUAAGAGCAUAGCUGUUGGGACCCGAAAGAUGGUGAACUAUGCCUGAAUAGGGUGAAGCCAGAGGAAACUCUGGUGGAGGCUCGCAGCGGUUCUGACGUGCAAAUCGAUCGUCAAAUUUGGGUAUAGGGGCGAAAGACUAAUCGA
rnacentral:rRNA from 1 species